GACCUCAAAUCAGGUAGGACUACCCGCUGAACUUAAGCAUAUCAAUAAGCGGAGGAAAAGAAACUAACAAGGAUUCCCCUAGUAACUGCGAGUGAAGCGGGAAAAGCUCAAAUUUAAAAUCUGGUAGUCUUUGGCUGCCCGAGUUGUAAUCUAGAGAAGCGUUAUCCGCGCUGGACCGUGUAUAAGUCUCCUGGAAUGGAGCGUCAUAGAGGGUGAGAAUCCCGUCUUCGACACGGACUCCCAGGGCUUUGUGAUGCGCUCUCAAAGAGUCGAGUUGUUUGGGAAUGCAGCUCUAAAUGGGUGGUAAAUUCCAUCUAAAGCUAAAUAUUGGCGAGAGACCGAUAGCGAACAAGUACCGUGAGGGAAAGAUGAAAAGAACUUUGGAAAGAGAGUUAAACAGUACGUGAAAUUGUUGAAAGGGAAACGCUUGAAGUCAG
rnacentral:rRNA from 1 species